CAGUCGAACGGACAGGUAAUGAAACCUAGUGAUUUAUCUGUUAGUGGCGGACGGGUGAGUAACGCGUGGGUAACCUGCCGUAUACAGGGGGAUAACACUUAGAAAUAGGUGCUAAAACCGCAUAAGCGCACAGGAUCGCAUGGUCUGGUGUGAAAAACUCCGGUGGUAUACGAUGGACCCGCGUCUGAUUAGCUUGUUGGCGGGGUAGAGGCCCACCAAGGCGACGAUCAGUAGCCGGCCUGAGAGGGUGAACGGCCACAUUGGGACUGAGACACGGCCCAAACUCCUACGGGAGGCAGCAGUGGGGAAUAUUGCACAAUGGGGGAAACCCUGAUGCAGCGACGCCGCGUGAGUGAAGAAGUAUUUCGGUAUGUAAAGCUCUAUCAGCAGGAAAGAAAAUGACGGUACCUGACUAAGAAGCCCCGGCUAACUACGUGCCAGCAGCCGCGGUAAUACGUAGGGGGCAAGCGUUAUCCGGAUUUACUGGGUGUAAAGGGAGCGUAGACGGUGAAGCAAGUCUGAAGUGAAAGGCGGGGGCUCAACCCCCGGACUGCUUUGGAAACUGUUUGACUGGAGUGCAGGAGAGGUAAGUGGAACUCCAUGUGUAGCGGUGAAAUGCGUAGAUAUAUGGAAGAACACCAGUGGCGAAAGCGGCUCUCUGGUCUGUAACUGACGCUGAGGUUCGAAAGCGUGGGUAGCAAACAGGAUUAGAUACCCUGGUAGUCCACGCCGUAAACGAUGAAUGCUAAGUGUUGGAGGGUUUCCGCCCUUCAGUGCUGCA
rnacentral:rRNA from 1 species